rnacentral:rRNA from 1 species
GAUGAACGCUGGCGGCGUGCCUAAUACAUGCAAGUCGAGCGAACGGACGAGAAGCUUGCUUCUCUGAUGUUAGCGGCGGACGGGUGAGUAACACGUGGAUAACCUACCUAUAAGACUGGGAUAACUUCGGGAAACCGUGGCUAAUACCGGAUAAUAUUUUGAACCGCAUGGUUCAAAAGUGAAAGACGGUCUUGCUGUCACUUAUAGAUGGAUCCGCGCUGCAUUAGCUAGUUGGUAAGGUAACGGCUUACCAAGGCAACGAUGCAUAGCCGACCUGAGAGGGUGAUCGGCCACACUGGAACUGAGACACGGUCCAGACUCCUACGGGAGGCAGCAGUAGGGAAUCUUGCGCAAUGGGCGAAAGCCUGACGGAGCAACGCCGCGUGAGUGAUGAAGGUCUUCGGAUCGUAAAACUCUGUUAUUAGGGAAGAACAUAUGUGUAAGUAACUGUGCACAUCUUGACGGUACCUAAUCAGAAAGCCACGGCUAACUACGUG